AGCAUCUGAUGCUUAUUGCACCACAUGUGUUUUUCUUUGAAACAAACUUGCUUUGGCGGUGGGCCCAGCCUGCCGCCAGAGGUCUAAACUUACAACCAAUUUUUUAUUAACUUGUCACACCAGAUUAUUACUUAAUAGUCAAAACUUUCAACAACGGAUCUCUUGGUUCUCGCAUCGAUGAAGAACGCAGCGAAAUGCGAUACGUAAUAUGAAUUGCAGAUAUUCGUGAAUCAUCGAAUCUUUGAACGCACAUUGCGCCCUCUGGUAUUCCGGAGGGCAUGCCUGUUUGAGCGUCGUUUCUCCCUCAAACCGCUGGGUUUGGUGUUGAGCAAUACGACUUGGGUUUGCUUGAAAGACGGUAGUGGUAAGGCGGGAUCGCUUUGACAAUGGCUUAGGUCUAACCAAAAACAUUGCUUGCGGCGGUAACGUCCACCACGUAUAUCUUCAAACUUUGACCUCAAAUCAGGUAGGACUACCCGCUGAACUUAAGCAUAUCAAUAAAGCGGAGGA
rnacentral:rRNA from 1 species